rnacentral:rRNA from 1 species
UACGUAGGGUGCAAGCGUUAAUCGGAAUUACUGGGCGUAAAGCGUGCGCAGGCGGUUGUGCAAGACAGAUGUGAAAUCCCCGGGCUUAACCUGGGAACUGCAUUUGUGACUGCAGAGCUAGAGUGUGUCAGAGGGAGGUGGAAUUCCGCGUGUAGCAGUGAAAUGCGUAGAGAUGCGGAGGAACACCGAUGGCGAAGGCAGCCUCCUGGGAUAACACUGACGCUCAGGCACGAAAGCGUGGGGAGCAAACAGU